rnacentral:lncRNA from 10 species
AAAAGCUAUGUUGAAGUCCUAACCCCCAGUACCUGUGAAUGGGACCUAUUUGGAAUCAGGAUCUUUGCAGAUAUAAUGAGGUUAUCAUGAGAUCACAGUGGAUUGGGGUGGCACUAAUCCAAUAUUUGUUGUCCUUAUAAGAAGGGGAAAAUUUAGACACAGAGACACACAGCAAGAAUACCAUGUAUAGACAUUGGGAGAGAUUGGAUGACGGGUGCAUCUAUAAAUCAAAGAUUGCUAAACACUGCUGGCAAUCACCAGACGGAGGCCUAGGACCUCAGGGAAGAAGCAUGGACCUGCUGACAGCUUGAUCUUGGACUUCCGGCCUCCAGAAUUGUGAGAGAAUAAAUUUCUAUUAUGUUAAGCCAUCCAGUUUGUAGUAUUUUGCUGCAGCAGCUGCAGGAAACCCUAAUCCCAUCUGCUAUCUGCACAUUUCACUAACGAGGAGAUUCUCACUAUGAAAAGGAACUCCUGGAGGGCUCCAUGUCAUUUCUCAGGAAUUGACUGCAGAGGCAGGUCCCUGUAACCAGGGAAACAGCCCAGGUUCCUGGCAUGAAGAGAUUACGGGAAAGUGUCUCGGAAGACAUAAGGAAACGCCGUGCACUGCCUAGUUCUGACAACUUCACCUCCUCGGAGUCACAGUGGUUCACAUUCUAGAGGCAGGCUGCUCGGGUCUGCAUCCUGGCUAACUACUUAAUUAAUCUCUUGGUUCUGCAAUUUCCGUAUCUGUAACAUGGAAUAUCUAUAAAAUGGGAGUCAGGUAGAACGAGAAGAGGAGCCAGCAAUGGGAACUCCUGGGAGGGACCAAGAAGAUUGAAGAACCACAAAGAGACUGCGAUGAGCACCUAAAAGCCAGGAGAAAAUAAAACGUGUGCCAUGGAGGAGUCACCGGCAGUUGGAGGUGGCUGAGAAGUCAAAUGAGAUGAGAGCUGGGGGCUGGCAGCUGGGUUUGGCAACAUGGAGGUCGCUGGUGGCAUCUUCCCUGACUGCUAGCAUCUAGGGCACCAGUCAAGUAGGUGGGUGUGAGGGCCAUGGCCAUUUAGAAGUUCCCUUCCCAGCUAGGCGCGGUGGCUCACGCCUGUAAUCCCAGCACUUUGGGAGGCUGAGGCGGGUGGAUCACCUGAGGUCAGGAGUUCGAGACCAGCCUGACCAACAUGGUGAAACCCUGUCUCUACUAAAAAUACAAAAAUUAGCUGGGUGUGGUGGUGCGUGUCUAUAAUCCCAGCUACUGAGGAGGCUGAGGCAGGAGAAUCGUUUGAACCUGGGAGGCAGAGGGUGCAGUGAGCUGAGAUUGCACCACUGCACUCCAGCCUGGGCAACAGAGCGAGACUCCAUCUCAAAAAAAAAAAAAGAAGUUCCCUUCCUCACCUCUGGUUCUGCAAAAAUAAGUCAACACAGUGCAAGGCUGGAUUGCUAAUCAGGAAAAGGAUCCAUGUCACAACGCUGGCCAAUUUAGUUUCAUCUUAAGUGUCUAGAAAAAUUAACCUAUGUUGGUCCACAGGAGAGGAUAUAAGGAAAACUCUACGACCAACACCUAACUCCUUCACAGUGAGUGAAGACCCGGGAGAAGAGACCCUUGUGGUCCAAUCAGACCCAUCCUGGAGUCCCACAAUGGUCACGAUUUGCCUGAAAAUGGGAUUCCAGUUACUUGCCAGUUUCCACCAAAGGAAGAACUCCCUAAAUCCUGUCUGUCUACCCUUAUGCAUUCUCCUCUAUUCAGCAUUCCCUGAAAUAACUUCCUCCUCUCUCACUGGUGCGUGCUUAGGUAUUGUGCUAUGGUGUCCCCCAACAUUCAUGUGUUGGAAGCUUAAUUCCCAAUGCAGCAGCAGAGGUGGGGCCUUAUGGGAGGUGUUUAGGUCAUGAGGGCCCCACCCUCAUGAAUACAUUAAUGCAUAAUGUAUUCAUUACAUUAAUACAUUUAAUACAUAAUGUAUUACAUCAAUACAUACAUAAU